rnacentral:lncRNA from 1 species
CGGCUUCAACUGUUAUACCCCAUUUUAACACGGGUCAAACCAGAGUAUAACAUAUUGGUAAUUCUGAAGGUUUAAUUAAUUAAGAGAGUCGCCACCUAAUUAUUUUUAAAGGUGAAUUAGGACACCUAGUUACAAAAUAAUGCUUAAAAUCAACUAUGUUUUAUGAUCUGCUUAAUCUUAAGAUUAUGAGUAAGGGUUCUAAUUAAUCCUAUAGGGAAGAUUGUUAAAGCACCCUAUAUGAUCCGUUAAUUACGGUUAACCAGCCAAACUUAGGUUAAUUAGUAAAACAACUAAAUGAUGAGAAUAUACUUAUUAGAAAAGGGUUAAUAGUAAGUCAUUCCAAAGUAGAGAUUUACAAUCGGAGCAAGAAAAUUGUUUUAGACUGUUUCAAACUCAUAAAAGAAAAGUCCAAAACUAUUUGAAAACAAAAUUAAAAACUCAUUAAGUUUCCAAUAAUUAGCUAAGAAAAACAGUUCAACAAAGUGAAAUAAAAUUUAAAGCUUGCUUGGGUCAAAAAACAUCUUCCUAACGAGAAGAGAUUAAUCACUAAACUUGAAACAAAUCUAAGAUUCACAAAAUGUUUAAGGAAAAUUACUUUCGCGUGAGGAAAUACUUUACAAGUUCAAAAUCACAAAUCAUUCCAGCCAAGUGCAUUUAACAUUUAAAAGCAAAGGGAUAUUAAAUUAUUGAACUCCCAAAAAAUCAAACCUAAUGUAGAUAAAUUUAGGAUAACUAUAGACUUCUAGACCUCUACCCCAUAUUCUUCUUGAUAAAACAAACAUCCUUAUUGUUACCUAGUAAUAACUCUAAAUGAUCUAAGACCCAGCUCUUAUAAACAAACAAAUAGUCACAACAAACACACAAGUAAAUAUUAGUCAGUAAGGAUAAACCAAAAUAAGUUAAAAUAAUGUAAUAAAGCUUCUAUCCAAUUGUCAGGAGGAUAAAUCUCCCCAAAUUUCGCUAUUCAAAGGGACGAAUAAAGGUAUGAGGGUUCACUUCGGCAGCGGCGUGGAGUCUAACUUUGAGACUCUUUGGCUCCGGUGUGUGUAACAUGCAAAGAAAAAAAAAUAAAAGAAUAAAAUUAGCAGAGGUCUUAAAUCUUCAACAAGCAUGAAGAAAAUGAAACAAUGAAGCUAGGCAAAGACAAGAUUGCAUUGAGUGUGUGUCCCAAGUAUUAUAGAGACAAGAAACAGAUCUCAAAAACUUCAAAUAGGAUACAUGUUGCAAGAAAAGGAUGUUUUUAUAAAACUUAAGAACGUAAUAUUUACCUAGCAAAUAUACUUGUAAGGAUCUAAGAAUGAUCUUUAACUACCACUCUAAAAAAUACUAUGGGCAUGCUUUUAUAUAUAUAUAUAUAUAUAUAUAUAUAUAUAUAUAUAUAUAUACUANNNNNNNNNNNNNNNNAGUACUUCUUCCAUAUGACAUUUAAAUAAGUAAAUAGUGGUUAAUCCAUAAAAAUUCAUGGCCUACAAACAUGGUUCUUAAAUAGUUGAAAAAAAUUCCAUACGCAAGUUCAUAUGAGAAUUUAGUCAAACACAUGGCAUUCUUAUUCAAACUUUCUAUUGCCACAAUACGCAAUGAACCACAAAUCAUGAUUUUUCAAUAAAAUAAUUCCUCAAGUAUGAUUUAUACAUAGAAAGCAAGUCACAUUCUUAAGCAAGCAUUUAUUCUGGAACUCAAAAUAAAAAUUAAAAAAAAGGGAGAAGGAAAUUUUUAAGGCUACGGACCUGCUUGGGGGCAGUGAACCGGAGCUUCAACCUCGAAUCUACUCUAUAUUGUCACCAACAGAUCCGACUUCUAGCUGAGUUCGAGUAUUCUGUUACGGCUAAAGUACGCUGAGACAGAAGCAAAAGUUCCAAAGAAACUUUUAGAGUUUUUGGGAGAUGAUAUCAACAACGAGAAAAUGAUAGUAUUCGUCAGGGGCACAAUUUGUGUGAAGUAGGCUGCUCCCUCCCAGAACUCUCCCAAAUGCGAGUAUUUAUAGGAGAUGUAGAGGUAGGGAUUGUAUUUUAGGCGGGAUAUUUUUCAGAUUUUGAUUUUGAAAUGGAGUCAAAAAGCCGUUCGAAUCCGAACGUUGGGAAUUUAAUGUUCAUGUGGCUUGGUAUGAGAAAGUCCUCUGAGAUCGAAUCAAAUCCCUGAAAAUCAGUUCUUUCCAUCUCAGAAAAUCAGAAUGCCAAAAGUCUUUUGGCCUCUUUUGUUGGCUAAAUCAUUGAAGACAAAGUUUGCUCAAAAAUAGAAGGGACAAAGUUUGUCCUUGGCUAAAGUGAAGCUUGACNNNNNNNNNNNNNNNNNNNNNNNNNNNNNNNNNNNNNNNNNNNNNNNNNNNNNNNNNNNNNNNNNNNNNNNNNNNNNNNNNNNNNNNNNNNNNNNNNNNNNNNNNNNNNNNNNNNNNNNNNNNNNNNNNNNNNNNNNNNNNNNNNNNNNNNNNNNNNNNNNNNNNNNNNNNNNNNNNNNNNNNNNNNNNNNNNNNNNNNNNNNNNNNNNNNNNNNNNNNNNNNNNNNNNNNNNNNNNNNNNNNNNNNNNNNNNNNNNNNNNNNNNNNNNNNNNNNNNNNNNNNNNNNNNNNNNNNNNNNNNNNNNNNNNNNNNNNNNNNNNNNNNNNNNNNNNAAGUAGUAGUCAUAAUAACAAUAGUGAUAAUGAUAAUAGUAAUAACAGUAAUAGUGACAAAAUAAUAAUAAUAAUAAUAAUAAUAAUAAUAAUAAUAAUAAUAAUAAUAAUAAUAAUAAUAAUAAUAUAAUAAUAAUAAUAAAAUAGUAAUUAUAAGGAUAAUAAUAAUAUGAACACUAAUACUAAUACUAAUAAUAGUAGCAGUAACAAUUAUAAUAAAAAUAGUAGUAAAAUAGGGUAUUCAGCUUAUUAGUAACUUAGAAGCUCAAGAAAAUUAAAUAGAAGAAAGGAGGGACAAAAUUGGAUGUCAACAGCUGCCCCUCUUUGACCGAAGACGAUGAAAGAGUUUUCGGGCAAAAAAUAUUGACUUAGUAGCCAAUUUUGUCCCGACCAUAAAUACAGGGUAAGGGUCUGAUUGAGCUGAUAUAAAUGUUGGGAAGAUUACUUGUAUAAGGAGGUUAUGGAAAAAUUAUGGUCGUACCCCGAUUUCGAGUUGCCUACAUAUCUCAGGCUUCACGAGACCCAGGCCGUAUGUAGUUCGAGAAUUAUAUUGGAAAAGAUUAUUUAAGAGUCGAAAACAGGUCAUGAGAGUAUUUGAGAGUGGGGAAAUGCUUUGUAGCCUCCUAAUUAUAAAAUAUGGCAGAUAACACACGAGUAGAGCUCUACUAGAUACGAUUUUUGACACCUUAGGAUUGAAUGAACUUACUGAUUUUCAAAAUCUGCCCCAGUGUCGAGUUAUGAUGACACUGGGUUACGAAGAAUUAUGAGAUUAUGAAAGCGAUUGAUCGAGAAAAAUAUAGGGGCAAAUACGAUGAAAAAUUUAGAAUUACUUGGAUUACCUACAUAUCCCGUGUUUUUGGGAUGUAGGUGGAGUAAAGUUUGAGAGUAGAUCUUUGAUCUUACUUUUGAGUUUGAUAUUCCUCUUCAACAAAUUUGUCCCAGUUCACUUCUAAGAGAUAGUUCCACGUUGUGCUAUAUUUUCUGUUAAGCUCAAUAGACUAGGUAAACUUGUUAAUAAACGAGAUAUAAAAAAUAUAAAAUAUAAAAAUAUAAAAAAUUAUAAAAUUCAGCGAUGACUUUAGAAAAUGAAGUAUUCAACCGCAUGAUUGAUAAAAAUGAGGCAUUUAAGACAAUGAUUGAUGAAAAUGAGGCAUUUAAACUAAAUGAUGAUGCAAUUUAGGUGUAUUUGAAACAUUUGCUUUGUGCAUUUGCAAGCAAUGAUAUAGUAUUGUUGAAAGUAUUUGUGCAGUGCAUUUGCGGUGCCUUUGAAAGCGAUGGUGCAGUGCAUUUGAAAGCAUUUAUGUUGUGCAUUUUGCAGGCAAUGGUGCAUUUGAAAGAAAUGGUGCAAUGUAUUUAAAAACAUUUGUGCAGUGCAUUUGAAAGCAAUGGUGCAUUGCAUUUGUGGUGCAUUUGAAAGCAAUGGUGCGGCGCAUUUGAAAGCAUUUAUGUCGUGCAUUUUGCAAACAAUGGUGCAUUCGAAAGAAAUGGUGCAAUGUAUUUGAAGCAUCUGUGCAGUGCAUUUGAAAGCAGCGGUGCAGUGCAUUUGCGGUGCAUUUGAAAGCAAUAGUGCGGUGUAUUUAAGAGCAUUUAUGUAGUGCAUUUUGCAAGCAAUGGUGCAUUCGAAAGAAAUGGUGCAAUGUAUUUGAAGCAUUUGUGCGGUGCAUUUGAAAGCAGCGGUGCAGUGCAUUUGAAAGCAAUGGUGCGGUGUAUUUGAAAGCUAAUGUGCAAUAUAUUUAAAGCCAUGUGCGAUGCAGUUUGCAUUCAAAUGCCAGGAUUAUCAUCAUUCAAGAGGUGUAGUUUCCUAUAAAAUAAUAUAAAGAAAUUCAAACCGCUCGACCAAUGAUUUUGGUAGUUAUACUCGUUAUUGAUUUUUGCUUCUGCUAUCUUGAAAAUCUGCAUUCAAAGAAAAAACUUGAGUUUUUAGGGGAAGGUUGAUUCGAGUUGACUUUGAUGCUCUGGCUUUUGAUAAUCUUGCGCUUCCAACUUUGUUUGGACUUGCACCCUCUGCCCAAUACCGAAUCUUGUUGAACGAAUAGUUAAGAGAUUUUGAUAAAAAAAAUAAUAAAUAAAUAAAAAAAACAAAAAACAAAUUUUAAUAUGCAUAAAUAUAUAUAAAAAUAAAGUUGUUGCCGAACUCUAUAUUGUGACAUGCUUUGUGAAACAAAGUGAACGUCCUCAUCUUAAUUCCUGUAUUCGUCUUGCUUGACCAUCCUUUGUUGAUGACUGAUGCCUCCUCAUGACGACGCCUUCAAAAGCUGCCCCAAUUUCCAAUUUGGGAAAAUGUUGAUUUUUAUUAUGAUGAGACCGAACCCACAGGGCUGUCUACGUAUCCUCUCUUAAACGAGAAUCAGGUCAAACAUAGUUCAUUUACAUUAAGAAGUAUUACAUGAAAAAGAAAGAGGUUGCUAGAUAUGCCUCUAGAUGUAGUAUCUCUUGACCGCAUCUGCGUUGAUGGGCUUGGGCCACACUUCUCCAUCCAUUUCUGCUAGAAUCAAUGCUCCUCCAGUCAAUACUCGAUGCACCAUGUACGGACCUUGCCAAUUUGGUGCAAACUUUCCUUUAGCUUCAUUUUGGUGCGGGAAUAUGCGUUUCAAAACCAGUUGCCCCGGUUUGAACUGACGUGGUUUCACUUUCUUGUUGAAGGCUCUGGCCAUCCUGUUUUGAUAGAGUUGACAAUGGCAAACUGUAUUCAUUCUGUUCUCGUCAAUAAGCAUUAAUUGCUCAUACCGAUUCUUCACCCAUUCUUCAUUGCUCAGCUUGAUUUCUUGGAUGACCCUCAAAGAUGGUAUUUCAACUUCCGUUGGUAAUACGACUUCAGUUCCAUAGACCAGAAAAUAAGGCAUUGCCCCAGUUGAUGUUCUGACAGUAGUGCGAUAUCCAAGGAGGGCAAAUGGUAGCUUCUCAUGCCAAUGCCUAUAAUUAUCAAUCAUCUUCUGCAAUAUCUUCUUUAUGUUCUUGUUGACUGCUUCAACGGCUCCAUUCAUCUGAGGUCGGUAGGGAGUGGAAUUUCGGUGAGUAAACUUGAACUUAUCACAUAUUUCUUGCAUCAAGUCACUAUUGAGAUUGGCUCCAUUAUCUGUAAUGAUUGACUCAGGAAUUCCAAAUCGGCAAACGAUGUUGUUGCGAACAAAAUCUGCUACCACCUUCUUUGUAACUGACUUGUAAUAAGAGGUUUCUCCCACUUUGUAAAGUAAUCAAUAGCUACCAAGAUAAAUCUAUGCCCAUUCGAGGUGGCCGACUCAAUAGGGCCAAUGACAUCCAGGCCCCAAGCUGUAAACGGCCAAGGAUAACUCAUCACAUUGAGUUCAUUUGGUGGGACUCGAAUCAAAUCACCGUGGAUCUGACACUGAUGACAUAUCUGUACAAAACGAAUGCAAUCUGUUUCCAUGGUCAUUCAAAAGUAACCUGCUCGCAAAAUUUUCUUUGCCAAAGUAAACCCAUUCAUGUGAGGCCCACAUGUUCCUGCGUGUAUCUCUUCAAUCAACUUGGUUGCUUCCCUGGCACCUACACACCUCAACAGUCCUAAAUCCGGGGUCCUCCUAUAUAGGAUUUCACCGUUUAGGAAAAAGUGAUUUGCCAAUCUCCUAAGCGUUCUCUUCUGGGUACUGGUUGCUCCUUCAGGGUAAUCCCUUGUUUUGAGAUACCUAUUAAUGUCAUAAUACCAUGGUUCUCCGUCUGGCUCUUCAUCCACAUGGAAACAAUAAGCUGGUUGAUCUUGUACAUUCAUCUUGAUAGGGUCUAUGUAGUUUUUAUUUGGAUGUUGAAUCAUGGACGACAAAGUUGCCAAAGCAUCUGCAAACUUAUUUUGAACCCUUGGAAUAUGCUUGAAGUCCACCUUGAUAAACUUCUUACACAACUCCUUUACACAAUGUACGUACGGUAGGAUUUUGGUGUUCUUUGUAUUCCAUUCGCCUUGUACUUGAUGAAUCAGCAAGUCUGAAUCACCUAUAACCAAUAACUCUUGGAUGUUCAUAUCAACGGCCAUUCUGAGCCCAAGUAUAUGAGGCCUGCCAUGUUGUUGGUGCAUGGAAAUCGAAGUUUUGCUGAGAUUGGAUAAUGUUGUCCAGAUUCUGAAACUAGUACUACUCCAACUCCGACUUCUUUGAAGUUUGCGGCUCCAUCAAAGAACAUUCUCCAACCAGAAUAUGCUUCUGAAAUGUCUUCUCCAGCGAACAAUACUUCUUCAUCUGGGAAGUACGUCCUAAGUGGCUUGUAUUCUUCACCCACAGGAGUUCUGCGAGGUGGUCAGCUAAAACUUGUCCUUUGAUGGCCUUCUGAGUAACAUACACGAUGUCAAACUCACUUAGCAAAAUCUGCCGCUUUGCCAGCUUCCCUGUAGGCAUAGGUUUCUGAAAGAUAUACUUGAGCGGGUCCAUUCUGGAAAUGAGAUAAGUGGUGUAUGCUGACAAGUAAUGCCUCAACUUUUGUGCAACCCAAGUUAAGGCACAACAGGUGCGUUCGAACAAAGUAUAUCUUGCUUCAUAUGGUGUGAACUUCUUGCUCAAGUAGUAUAUGACUUGCUCCUUCCUCCCAGUUUCAUCAUGUUGCCCCAAAACACAUCCAAAUGCAUUAUCUGAUACGGACAUGUAUAACAACAACGACCUUCCAGGUUCCGGAGGUACCAGCACCGGUGGGUUAGAUAAGUAUUCCUUGAUCCUAUCAAAAGCUCGUUGACAUUCUUCUGUCCAUUUGGUAGUGGCAUCUUUCCUCAACAUCUUGAAUAUCGGCUCACAAAUCACUAUUGAUUGGGCUAUGAAACGACCGAUGUAGUUGAGGCGACCAAGGAAGCUCAUCACGUCCUUCCGAUUCUUUGGAGGUGGCAGGUCUUGGAUAACCUUUAUCUUUGAAGGAUCCAACUCUAUGCCACUUCUACUGACAAUGAAACCUAAUAAUGUUCCAGCUGGAACUCCGAAUGCACACUUUGUGGGAUUCAGCUUCAAAUUGUAUCGCCACAACCUAUCAAAGAACUUCUUCAGGUCUACCAAGUGAUCUGAACUCUUCCGUGACUUGAUGAUGACAUCGUCCACAUAGACCUCAAUCUCUUUAUGGAUCAUGUCAUGAAAAAUAGUUGUCAUAUCUCUCAUGUAUGUAGCACCUGCAUUCUUGAGUCCAAAAGGCAUCACCCAAUAACAAUACACCCCCAAGGUGUAAUAAAUGUUGUCUUCUCAGUAUCAUCUUCAUCCAUCAAAAUCUGGUGGUAACCAGCAAAGCAAUCCACGAAUGACUGCAACUCAUGCUUUGCACAAUUAUCAAUGAGUAUGUGAAUAUUCGGGAGUAGGAAAUCAUCCUUUGGACUAGCCUUGUUAAGAUCCCAAUAAUCCACACAUAUUCUGAUCUUUCCGUCCUUCUUUGGUACUGGUACUAUAUUGGCCAACCAGGUGGGAUACUUCGUGACUCGGAUGACAUUUGCCUUAAAUUGCUUGGAGACUUCUUCUUUGAUCUUUAAACUUAAGUCUGUUUUGAAUUUUCUUGUUUUUUGCUUUACCGGGGGACAAGAUGGAUCCGUUGGCAACUUAUGGGAACAAUAUUAGUGCUUAAACCAGACAUGUCAUCAUACGACCAAGCGAACAUAUCGAUGUAUUGUCUCAGAAGAUCCACAUAUUUCUCCUUUUCUGAUGGUGUUAAAUGGACACUAAUUCUUGUUUCUUUUAUAGACUCUGAAUUCCCCAAAUUUAUAAGCUCUGUUUCAUCCAAAUUUGGUUUUGACUUGUUCUCAAACUGCUCAAGUUCUUUAGUUGAUUCUGCGGGCGGCACGUCUUCUUCAUAUUCUUCAAAAUCUGGUUUGUUAUUUUGUUCACUUGUUUCUUUCACUGCCACAUUCAUGAUGUCGGCGUUUUUAUUAAUUUGUUUGCUGAAAAAUAAAAUAAAAAAGAAAGAAAAUUAAUAAAGACAAAAAUUUAAAUGUAAAAUGAAAAACAUAUUCAGAUUUUGCAUUUAAGCUUCCAAAAGAUCGAGACAAACAACAUAAAAUCGUAGACACGAUUCAGGCCUCAAUUUUGAAUCGCGUUGUUUAAAAAGUACUAAUACAAUCCAUCUACCAAGACUCCCUGCGAACCGGGCACGGGGUACAAGUCCAAUUGUUCAAAACAUCUCCAGGUGCGACAUCCCAAAUAGUUAGCGUCUCAGUGCAAUCUUUCAGAAUCACGUUGCAAUCAGCAAUAAAUAGGUUCCUGAUUCCUUCAACGAGGUCAUCUUCAGCAUCUUCAUCUAGCUCAUGAAUUGUAACUGUCUUGGGGAAUGACUGGCUCAACAGCGAGAUAGGCUGUGGCAGGACAAUGUCACCUUUCUUCUUGAGACGAGCCUCCGAUACUUCUUUUGGAGUGGGUUCGUACCCUAGGCCAAAGGUGUUGUUCUGCCCCGGUAACUGAAUUGGCUCCACUAUUCCAUGCAACCUUACUCCAAGUCCUCAACCAGGCUCGAAACCAUUCUUCAACAUUUCUGAUGCCACCAUCACGAACACACUUGGCAACUUUAUAUCUUUACCUCGAGUAACAGUCACAAUUUCUUCAAUGUGGAAGGUGGCUCUAUCCAGCCUCUCCACACUUUCAAUGACAGGGAUUGAAUUCCCGGGGUAAAUGGGAUUGCUUGCUUCUCCAUGAAUCAUAACCUCCUGGUGAUUCCACACAAACUUCACGUUCUGGUGCAAAGUGGAAGGGACUGCACCGGUCAUGUGAAUCCACGACCUUCCCAACAACAAAUUAUAAGUAGCAGAUAUGUCUAACACUUGAAAUUCAAUGAUAAACUCCACAGGCCCAAUUUGUAAUGCUAAGUCAAUUUCACCAAUAACGCUCAUUUGCGCUCCAUCAAAAGCUCUAAUAUUCACAUGACUUUCAUGAACUUUUCCAACGUCAAUUCCCAAAGCUUUGAGGGUACUGAUAGGACAUAUAUUGAGUGCAGAACCGUAAUCGAUCAAAACCCUAGAAACAAUCUUAUCCCUGCACUUGACAGUGAGAUGCAAAGCUUUGUUGUGACUUAGACCUUCAGGUGGCAAUUCAUCCUCGUGAAAAGAAAUCUUACGGGCUUCUAGAAUUUGGGCUACCAUAGUUUCCAAAUGUUCACUAGUUGUCUCGGCUGGCACAUAUGCUUCAUUGAGUACUUUUACCAGAGCAUUCCUGUGGCUGUCGGAACUCAUCAAUAAUGACAUGAGGGAAAUUUGAGCUGGCGUCUUCUUCAGUUGGUCUACAACAGAGUAUCCGCUACAUUGCAUUUUUCUCCAAAAUUCUUCUGCUUCAGCUUUUGUCACAGACUUCUUCUGGUUGUUGUCCUUACUUGAAGUUCCUUGUGAUUGUUCUUCAGGAACAUGACACCGAUCGGAUCUCGUCAUACCUGCAGCAGCAGCUUCUACAACUAAUUUUUCCUUUCCUUUGUUCCUUACAUCAGACUGAUAGUCCCAAGGAACUGCGUUGGUUUCAAAUGAGGGCGUCUGAGCAACUAGAGCCAUGAUCCUGGGUUUCAGAGGGAGAACAUCCACCUCAAUUGGUGCUCGCACUUGCACUGUGAUGACAUGAGCAAUAAAGGCAGAUGACAUGGCCUUUUUCUCGUCUUCAAUUGGUACAAUUGUACCUUCCAAAUUCCAAUCUUCAUCAGUAGAUAUCAUGUUAAUACCAGUAUUAUCGUGAUUUGGAAGAGGGUUGUUGUUCACAUUCGGGGGAGCUCCCUUAAGCUGAAUGGUUCUUGCUUUGAUCAACUCUUCGAUCUUAUCUUUGAGAGUAAGACAAUUUUCAGUAUCAUGUCCAGUCACACCAAAGUGAUAUGCACAACUCUUAGUCCCAUCAUACCAUCCUGGGAGGGGGUCGGGAACUCUUCCUGGGACUGGUUGGAGUACUCCUGCGGCUUUCAACCUUUCAUACAACUGGGCUAGAGGUUUAGCUAGGGGUGUAUAGGUUUUGGCUGGUUUUCUUUCAAAGCUGGGGCGAGGUCUAGGUGCAUUUGAGCGGUUUUGGGACUGGUAGCGGGGUUGAGAUGGAUAUGUGGGUUAGUAAUGUGAUGGAUUCGGGUAUAUGGGUGCUCGGGGUGGAUAAUAGGUUGGUUGGGCAUUAUAAAUAGGAUAGGGAAUGGGUGAAGACUGGUAAUAAGGUUGAGGGGUUUGGGUGUAUGGGCUAUAGUAUGAAGGUUGGGGUAAUGGGUUUUUGUAGGUUAACAUUUGGUUAGGCCUGCGGUCCUGGACGGUCAUAACAGCGGAUAUUUCUUUCUCCUUCUUCUUACUUGCUCCUCCAAUAGUUCCUGACUGGAUUGCCUUACUCGUUGCUUGUAGUGCUGCCAAAUUUGUAAUCUUUCCAGAUUUGAGACCUUCCUCUAUGACGUCUCCCAUCCUAAAAACUUCUGAGAAUUUCUACCCCAGCAUGCUUAUCAGUCUCUCAUAGUAUGUGGCAUCCGUUUAAGAUCGAAUAAAAUUAGUUGUCAUCUCAUCCUCUCCCAUUGGAGGUUGGACUCUUGCUGUUUCUGCCCUCCAUCUCAUGGCAUACUCUCUAAAGGAUUCUAUUGUUUUCUUCUCCAACGUCAUCAAAUAGAAUCUAUCUGGAUUGGUCUCAGUGUUAAAUCUGAAUCUGUCCAUGAAUUCUUGCGCCAUGACACUCCAGCUGCGCCAUUUCUGUGGGCCUUGAAUUGUGUGCCAAUCAAUGGCUUCCCUUGUAAGACUCCUUAUAAAAAGUUUCAUCCUGAUAGCUUCAUCCUUUCCCACUCCAACUAACUUAUGACAAUAUGACCUCAAAUGAGCUCGUCGGUUUCCUUUUCCAUCAAACAUGUCAAAUUUUGGUACUUUAUAUCCUGCAAGUAAAUCGACAUCGGGAUGAACACAUAGAUCCUCGUACUCUAAACCUUCCAUACUCCUAACGAUUUUCAGAUUUUUGAAUGCUUUCUUUAACUCAUGGAUCUCCUUGGCCAUAUACUCGUCGGCUUUGGCCCUUACUUCCUUUUCUGCUUCCCGAUGCUGAUUCACUUCGGAGUGAAGUUGGUGAGGCAUAGGGGUAGUAAAAGGUUGUGCUUCUGCUACAUAUACCGGUGGCACAUGAUAGUGAUAUGUGGCAUCGGUAGGUGUUGGGUUACAUGGUGGUUUUGGGUGAGCAAGGUGCUUUGGGCUAGUGGUGGUUGGAAAACAUAUGAUGUGUUGAAGUUCGAUGGGUUGGCUUGUUGGGGGUUAGCAUGUGCGUUAGUGGAUGUUGGCUUGUUGUUGUGAAGUGGAGGGUUUGGUGGAAGGUGUUCCGAUAUAGGUGAUUCAAAUGAUGGGAAAGGUGGUGGGAUAUGUGCAUUUGUCCUUUCUUCAGAAAGUGGUGUAUUGAGGCUGAUAGAAAGAUUGGUAAGGUUACGAAGCCGUUCGAUUUCACCUUGCAAGUUAACCACUUGUUGCGACAACUGGGCGAUGUGCUCAUCAUGAAGGGUAACCUCCCUUCCUUCUGAAGCCUCGGGUUCGUCUCUUUGAACGGUGACAAGUCCCAAGCCUAUCAUAUUAGAUGUGUUUGAACCAGUUAUGUUGGUAGCUACUCGUGCCUUGGAUCUCGUGAAGUAUGGGUGUUCAGCCAGUUCGCAGUCAACAAAAAUCAACCUUGGGGAGUAAUAAAAUAGAAAACCUCUAAACAUGAAAUAAAAGAUAAUGUUACUAAGUGGUGAUUAGAUUUAAAAGCAAGUAUAUCACAUAGCAAACAAAUCACGUAACAAUACAAACAAGUCAAGCAAUGUUAAGCGUAUCCUAGUAUGCACGGGACCUCUUUGUGCCAGAGGUAGGCCUAGCGAAAAUUUGAGAGAUAAACACACCAUUAUAUAUCAUUCCAUUGCUCCUUAAUUAGAUACCCCCAAAAUAAACUUUUAUUGAAUACUAACAUCGCCUUAGUCUAAAAUGAUUACAAUGGCAUAGCCUUAAUAAAGAUUACAACAUAGUUCUAAUCUAAUUGACUGAGGAUGGUUCUCCAUUGCCCCUUAGCCUCUUCGCUGCUCUUAUUGCCUCGUCGAUUUUUUGGCGAUUCUUCACAAGGUAAACCAUGGCAACUUUCCUUCUUCGUCGAGUCCUCGACAAUAACAUUCUAUGGAUUGCUCCUCGAGGUCUCCAUCCAAACUUUUGAGUCCUUGCUCCAUUUCCACAGCUUGUUGUUUCCACAUUUCUAUUUGUUGCUUCUGCAUUUCCUCUCGUUGUCUCAACAUUUCAAUUUCUUUGUUGUCCUUCUCAUGCUGCUCCAUGUGCUUUGCUUUAGACUCGGACACCCUUCUUUUCAGCCAACAGUACUUGAUUUCAGCUUCGACUACCUUAUCUUUGAUUCGGCCUCCUACAUUAAUUCCUCUUGUGACAGAACCUUCAAGGUUGGAAAGUAACCAUUCUAAGUAAAAAAUGUCACAUCCAACUUGGUACCUAUCUGGUGCAAUUUUAUCUUUGACCAUAGCUCUCUUGUUUCUCCACAUCCUAAGAAUUUCAUUCGCAAAAGAAAUCUUAUCAUUAUCAUAGUCAAUUCGAUAAUGAUCCAUGUUAUCAACUUGCGGUAUGACUUGCGUUCUUCCAGCUUGUCUCAUAACUCACAAUAGAGCAUAUGGUUGAAGUCCUCGAAGCUCGAUGAAAACCAAGUAAGGUAGCAUUUUUUCACGGAUUACAAAAUUCUCAGAAGGAUACCAAGAAAACAUCCAUUGAAUCGUGGUGACGUUCAGCUUGCUAAGUAACUUGCCCCAUCCUUUAACACUAUUUGGGCGCUUGAAUGCAACCACUGGGAUCGUGUAUGACGUGAUAUGAUUAGCACCAUUUUGCUUGUAAAGCUCUUGGCUUCCACUGAUCUUUUGGAGAUGCCCCAUAAACCACAACUGUAGCAACAAAUUACAUCCCUCAAAAUGUUUAAAUCCCUUCUUGCAAAGGACCAAAGCUCGGUAUAUAUCUGCAACAACCAUUGGCACUAUGGUGUAUGGCUUUCAAUCAAUGUCAUUAAAUAAUGCAUCAGUAACCAUGACAAGUCGGGUGUGAAUCUCAUGUUUUGCUCCUCAGGGAAAUACUAGGAGCCCGAGAAAACAAACCGAAAAAGCGAAUACCCUCUUUUCACUCUAAGAAGCGUGUGAGGAGAACACCUCUCAAUGUCGUAGAAAAGCAUCUGAAUGGCCAAAGAUGUCGAACAAAUAGUCAAGGGGUAUCUUGGAUUCUUUCAAAUGCUCUAUCCCAAUUUCUUUCUCAAAACCAAACUUUUCAAGGAACUGUUUUGUCAGGGGAUUUUUUGGAAUAAUCAUGCAAGCGUUUUGCCAAGAAUGUCUGCCUUUCCAUAACAAACUUACAUUCUCUAUUAAGCCUCUAAUUUCUUCUAACAAUGGUGUCAUCUCAUUUUUCCCAAAUUUGAAUACGGCUCUUUCUUCAUCCCAAAAGGUGACUGUUGCUUCAAUAAUUUCCCUACAUGAUGUGACUUCCAUAAGUAACGGUAGGUGACCCAACUUCUUUCGUACUUCGGACUGUGCAUUCUCUCCUAUGUUUCUCCACCAUGCCUUUAGUUUGGGAGGGAUGUCCAACACCAUGCCAAUCUUUGGGUAAACAACUUGAUUCAUGAUUUCCUGCAUUACAGAAAAGGUUAAUCCUACCCGUUUUCCCUUUUAUGAGUAAAUGGUCCAUAUAAUCAAUGUGUUUAUCUUUCAAAUAGUGCACAUAAAGGAUGAAUAGGUGUUGCUUGGGUUUAUAAACCCGCUUGGACAUUUGGGUAAGGCUAACUAAUGGACUUAAUACACCUAGGGUAUUAAGCCUCCUAAGGUUGCGUGAUGUAUGCCCCUAAGAAGGGAUUUGGUUUAGCUCUAUCCUAGGUCGGCUAAGAGUGGAUUUUCUAGACUGGUCUUUUCCCAAGUGGACAACUUGAGAGUGAAAAGUUGUGACUGUUAACUGCACUGCUGAUCGACUUACCCACAAACUUUCCCCUAAAAUGUAUUUUUGAAAAAGUGCACGGCCGUAAACCGCAUAACUGCUAGGUGUGUGCUCAGUGUGAAUUUUCCAAAAGUGGAGGAAGUGAAAACGGAAUGACAGUUUAUAAAAUAUAGUAAUUACAUUUUACAAGAAAGAGCACAUUUUCAAAUAAGGCAACAAACAAAAACAUUCACAAAAUACAAAAGCCAUUUUUAUUAACCUAAGUUUGUUAUGGAUUAAAACCUAAACUCCCCAGCAGAGUUGCCAUGCUGUUAUACCCCAUUUUAACACAGGUCAAACCAGGGUAUAAUAUAUUGGUAAUUUUGAAGGUUUAAUUAAUUAAGAGAGUCGCCACCUAAUUAUUUUUAAAGGUGAAUUUGGACACCUAUUUACAAAAUAAUACUUAAAAUCAACUAUAUUUUAUGGUCUACUUAAUCUUAAAAUUAUGAGUAAGGGUUCUAAUUAAUCCUAUAGGGAAGGUUGUUAAAACACCCUAUAUGAUCCGUUAAUUUCGGUUAACCAGCCAAACUUAGGUUAAUUAGUAAAACAACUAAAUGGUGAGAAUAUACUUAUUAGAAAAGAGUUAAUAGUAAGUCAUUCCAAAGUAGAGAUUUACAAUUGGACCAAGAAAAUUGUUUUAGACUGUUUUAAGCUCAUAAAAGAAAAGCCCAAAACUAUUAAACAAAAUUCAAAACUCAUUAAGUUUCCAACAAUUAGCUAAGAAAAACAAUUCAACAAAGUGAAAGAAAAUUUAAAGCUUGCUUGGGUCAAAAAACAUCUUCCUAACGAGAACAGAUUAAUCACUAAACUUGAAACAAAUCUAAGAUUCACAAAAUGUUUAAGGAAAAUCACUCUCGCGUGAGGAAAUACUUUACAAGUUCAAAAUCACAAAUCAUUCCAGCCAAGUGCGUUUAACAUUUAAAAGCAAAAGGAUAUUAAAUUAUUAAACUCCCAAAGAUCAAACCUAAUGUAGAUAAAUUUAGGAUAACUACAAAGUUCUAGACCUCUACCCCAUAUUCUUCUUGAUAAAACAAACAUCCUUAUUGUUACCUAGUAAUAACUCUAAAUGAUCUAAGGCCCAACUCUUAUAAACAAACGAAUAGUCACAACAAACACACAAGUAAAUAUUAGUCAAUAAGGAUAAACCAAAAUAAGUUAAAAUAAUGUAAUAAAACUUCUAUCCAAUUGUCAGGAGGAUAAAUCUCCCCAAGUUUCGCUAUUCAAAGGGACGAGUAAAGGUAUGAGGGUUGGCAGCGGCGUGGAGUCUAACUUUGAGACUCUUUGACUCCGGUGUGUGUAACAUGCAAAGAAAAAAAAUAAAAGAAUAAAAUUAGCAGAGGUCUUAAAUCUUCAACAAGCAUGAAGAAAAUGAAACAAUGAAGCGAGGCAAAGACAAGAUUGCAUUGAGUGUGUGUCCCAAGUAUUAUAGAGACAAGGAACAAAUCUCAAAAGCUUCAAAUAGGAUACAUGUUGCAAGAAAAGGAUGUUUUUAUAAAACUUAAGAACGUAAUAUUUACCUAGCAAAUAUACUUGUAAGGAUCUAAGAAUGAUCUUUAACUACCACUCUAAGAACGUGUAUAUAUAUAUAUAUAUAUAUGUCACUUUAACAUGCUUCCGAUCAGUUGGGUCAAGCUACUACUACUCCAUAUAAUAUUUAAUUGAUUAAUUUAAAAGUAACAAGUUCUCUUAACAAGAUCCAUGUUCACGUACUAUUUAAAACAGUGAAUCAUUUUCUUAAACAAUAUUUUAGCAGAGUACUUCUUCCAUAUGACAUUUAAAUAAGUAAAUAGUGGCUAAUCCAUAAAAAUUCAUGGCCUAUAAACAUGAUUCUUAAAUAGCUGAAAAUGACAUAUUACCUAAAGGUUUAAUAAUAGGAUGUACUAUGAGCAAAUUCCAUACCAAAGUUCAUAUGAGAAUUUAGUUAAACACAUUGCAUUCUUAUUCAAAUUUUCUAUUGCCUACGCAAUGAACCACAAAUCAUGGUUUUUCAAUAAAAUAAUUCCUAAAGCAUGAUUUCUACAUAGAAAGCAAGUCACAUUUCUUAAACAAGCAUUUAUUCUGGAACUCAAAAUAAAAAUUAAAAAAAAAGAGAAGGAAAUUUUAAGGCUACGGACCUGCUUGGGGGCAGUGAACCGGAGCUUCGACCUCGAAUCUACUCUAUAUUGUCACCAACAGAUCCGACUUCGAGCUGAACGAGUCCGAGUAUUCUGUUACGGCCAAAGUACGCCGAGACAGAAAGCAAAAGUUCCAAAGAAAUUUUUAGAGUUUUUGGGAGAUGAUAUCAACAACGAGAAAAUGAUAGUAUUCGUCAGGGGCACAAUUUGUGUGAUAUAGGCUGAUCCCUCCCAGAACUCUCCCAAAUGCGAGUUAUAGGAGAUGUAGAGGUAGGGAUUGUGUUUUAGGCGGGAUAUUUUUCAGAUUUUGAUUUUGAAAUGGAGUCAAAAAGCCGUUCGAAUCCGAACGUUGGGAAUUUAAUGUUCAUGAGGCUUGGUCUGAGAAAGUCCUCUGAGAUCGAAUCAAAUCCCUGAAAAUCAGUUCUUUCCAUCUCAGAAAAUCAAAAUGCCAAAAGUCUUUUGGCCUCUUUUGUUGACUAAAUCAUUAAAGACAAAAGAGAUACUUGGAAUUUGCUCAAAAAUAGAAGGGACAAAGUUUGUCCUUGGCUAAAGUGAAGCUUGAUNNNN